GAGUUUGAUCAUGGCUCAGGGCGAACGCUGGCGGCAGGCCUAAUACAUGCAAGUCGAACGGCUCUUCGGAGCAGUGGCGGACGGGUGAGUAACGCGUGGGAACGUGCCCUUUGGUUCGGAACAACACAGGGAAACUUGUGCUAAUACCGAAUGUGCCCUUCGGGGGAAAGAUUUAUCGCCAUUGGAGCGGCCCGCGUUGGAUUAGCUAGUUGGUGGGGUAAAGGCCUACCAAGGCUACGAUCCAUAGCUGGUCUGAGAGGAUGAUCAGCCACACUGGGACUGAGACACGGCCCAGACUCCUACGGGAGGCAGCAGUAGGGAAUCUUGCGCAAUGGGCGAAAGCCUGACGCAGCCAUGCCGCGUGAAUGAUGAAGGUCUUAGGAUUGUAAAAUUCUUUCACCGGGGAAGAUAAUGACGGUACCCGGAGAAGAAGCCCCGGCUAACUUCGUGCCAGCCGCCGCAGU
rnacentral:rRNA from 1 species